rnacentral:rRNA from 1 species
UGGGGAAUUUUGGACAAUGGGCGAAAGCCUGAUCCAGCAAUGCCGCGUGUGUGAAGAAGGCCUUCGGGUUGUAAAGCACUUUUGUCCGGAAAGAAAUCCUUGGCUCUAAUACAGUCGGGGGAUGACGGUACCGGAAGAAUAAGCACCGGCUAACUACGUGCCAGCAGCCGCGGUAAUACGUAGGGUGCAAGCGUUAAUCGGAAUUACUGGGCGUAAAGCGUGCGCAGACGGUUGCAUAAGACCGAUGUGAAAUCCCCGGGCUCAACCUGGGAACUGCAUUGGUGACUGGCAGGCUAGAGUAUGGCAGAGGGGGGUAGAAUUCCACGUGUAGCAGUGAAAUGCGUAGAGAUGUGGAGGAAUACCGAUGGCGAAGGCAGCCCCUGGGCAAUACUGACGCUCAUGCACGAAAAGCGUGGGGAGCAAAACAGGAUUAGAUAGCCUGGUAGUCCACGCCUAAAACGAUGUCAACUAGUUGUUGGGGAUUCAUUUCCUUAGUAACGUAGCUAACGCGUGAAGUUGACCGCCUGGGGAGUACGGUCGCAAAGAUUAAAAACUUAAAUGAAUUGACGGGGUCAUAGCUGUUUCCU